UACGUAGGGGGCAAGCGUUGUCCGGAUUUAUUGGGCGUAAAGAGCGUGUAGGCGGCCAUACAGGUCCGUUGUGAAAACUGGAGGCUUAACCUCCAGACGUCGAUGGAAACCGUAUGGCUAGAGUCCGGAAGAGGAGAGUGGAAUUCCUGGUGUAGCGGUGAAAUGCGCAGAUAUCAGGAAGAACACCCGUGGCGAAGGCGGCUCUCUGGGACGGUACUGACGCUGAGACGCGAAAGCGUGGGGAGCGAACAGGG
rnacentral:rRNA from 1 species